UUGUAAGUCAUACUGAAAUUACAGUCCUCAAGCACACAAAUUACAGUGUAAUACUCUAGGGAUAAGACAGUAAAAGUCUGAUGAAUUACAUUGUAAGUCAUACUGAAAUUACAGUCCUCAAACAUACAAAUUUACAAUGUAAGUCUAGGGAAAUACAAUGUAAAACUCUGGUGAAUUGCAUUGUAAGUCAUACAAAAAUUGCAUUGUAACCAUACAAAUUACAGUGUAAAACUCUAGGGAAAUACACUAUAAUUACAUGAGUGGUUGGGCUAAAUUUACAAAGUAAACUACACAGUGAUCUGGGAGUAUACACAGUGACUCCAGGGCAUAAAAACACUGUAAAUCUGGGCGAAUACACUGUAAAUUACAUGAGUAAUUGAGCUAAAUUACUGUGAACAUAAAUAGGACAAAUUACACAGUGAUUCCAGGCAUAAUAUACUGAAAAAUCUGCAUAUACACAGUACAUGAGUAAUUGGGCUAAAUUCCUGUGAACAUACUAGGACAAAUUACACAGUGAUUCCGGGCAUAAAUACAUUGAAAAAUCUUGCAUAUCUGGGAAUAUACACUGGAAUUAGGGGGGAAAUUACACAAUACUGAU
rnacentral:lncRNA from 1 species